UUUAAGGAAGCACUUUGUCCACGUGGACAAAAAACGCUUCCUUGAGGGAGUGCUUUGUGUCCACGUGGACAAAGUGCUUCCUUGAGG
rfam:Gossypium hirsutum cultivar TM-1 chromosome 14, whole genome shotgun sequence